rnacentral:rRNA from 1 species
GACGAACGCUGGCGGCGUGCUUAACACAUGCAAGUCGAACGGGAUUUAGUAAACGGAAGCCUCGGUGGAAGAUUACUAAUGAGAGUGGCGAACGGGUGAGUAACGCGUGAGCAACCUGCCUAUGACAGUGGGAUAGCCUCGGGAAACCGGGAUUAAUACCGCAUAAAAUCGUAGAAACACAUGUUUCAACAGUCAAAGAUUUAUCGGUCAUAGAUGGGCUCGCGUCUGAUUAGCUAGUUGGUGAGAUAACAGCCCACCAAGGCGACGAUCAGUAGCCGGUCUGAGAGGAUGAACCGCCACAUUGGAACUGAGACACGGUCCAAACUCCUACGGGAAGCAGCAGUGGGGAAUAUUGCACAAUGGGGGAAACCCUGAUGCAGCGACGCCGCGUGAACGAAGAAGGUAUUCGUAUCGUAAAGUUCUGUCCUAUGGGAAGAUAAUGACAGUACCAUAGAAGAAAGCUCCGGCUAAAUACGUG